CACGCAGGCGGUUUAUUAAGUUAGGUGUGAAAGUUUGCAGCUCAACUGUAAAAGUGCAUCUAAAACUGGUAGACUUGAGUCUCGGAGAGGUAAGCGGAAUUCCUAGUGUAGCGGUGAAAUGCGUAGAGAUUAGGAAGAACACCGGUGGCGAAGGCGGCUUACUGGACGAGUACUGACGCUCAGGUGCGAAAGCGUGGGGAGCAAACA
rnacentral:rRNA from 1 species